UUUUUUUUUUUUUUUUUUGGCUAUGGAGGGAUGUGGGAUGUCAGUUCUCAGACCAGGGAUCGCACUCGGGCCACUGCAGUGAAAGUGCCAAGUCCUAUCCACUGGGCCACCAGGGAACUCCUAAUUUAUCUAAGUGAGCGCAUUUAAUUAAUUAAUUUAUUUAUUUUUGCUUUUUAGAGCCGCACCCGUGGCAUAUGGAAGUUCCCAGACUAGGGACUAGGGGUCGAAUCAGAGCUACAGCUGCCUGCCUUCGCCACAGUCACAGCAACACGGGAUCCGACCCAUACCUGUGACCUACAUACACCACAGCUCACAGCCAAUGCCAGAUCCCUGACCGACUGGGCGAGGCCAGGGAUCAAACCCGCAUCCUCAUGGACGCUAGUCGGGUUCGUUAACUGCUGAGCCACAACAGGAACUCCCACGUUCCAUUUAUUAAGCUGCAUCCAGCCCUGUGAUAGAAGUAGAACUCUGCCCAGUCACCAAAAGAGGCCUCAGCAGGGGGUGUUUUGCCCAGUUUUACUCAGCGGGUAGAGAGUGGAUCUGAUUAGGAACUUGGGCCAUGCCUCUUAACUCUGCCUCUCCCAGAGUCUCCUAAUUCUGAAAGACUCCUUCCAGAGGCACACCACCACCGACAAGCCCCCAGUGCAAAGUAACAUCUAGAAGCAGAGAGGGCCCUUUGGGAUGCAGCGGGAUUAAGAGCUGUGUGACUAAGCAAGCUGUCAAACACGUGAAGUCAAGGACUCGGUUGUACCAAGAUACAGAAGAGCAGUUACAGAGAAUCCCCCAGUUCUUCUCCCAGUCUGAGCAAGUGCGCUUCAGGAAGGGUCUGGGGAUGCUCUCCCUCAUCCGGGGCAGUCCUUCAUCCCGCUGGGCUGGCUCCCAUCACCCCACAGGACUAUUAUUUUUUCUUUCUUCUUGUCUUUCCAGGGCCGCACCUGCGGCACAUGGAGGUUUUCAAGCUAGGGGUCUAAUCGGAGGUGUAGCCGCCAGCCUACGCCAGAGCCGCAGCAACACCAGAUCUGAGCCUCCUCUGUGACCUACACCACAGCUUGUGGCAACACCAGAUCUUCAACCCACUCAGCGAGGCCAAGGAUCGAACCCGCAACCUCAUGGUUCCCAGUCGGACUCGUUAACCAUUGAGCCACGACAGGAACUCCAGGACCAUUGUUUUUUCUGAGCUCUCCUGGUUUCUCCUGCUUGUUGAUGUCCUAGUAAAAUGCAAUCUCAUGGUUGGCCUAUCAGGUACCAUCAAGAACCGCUCUUAGUUUAGAAAUGCUGGGCCUCUGGAAGCCUUGGAUGAGAGGCGGUCUGUAUCAUAGGCAUUCGCCCACCUCUGCAAAGCGGAAGGAGAAACAUUCCGUCUGCCAUUGAGUGACGAGACACAGAUUCUUGGUGCCUGCCCACACACCCUGCCCUUCAAAACAAGCCUGCCAAUCAACCAGGGGCCCCCUGGCUCUCAACACCCCGGCCUAGACUCAGCCUCAGCAUCCUUGUCCACUGGACUGUGAUGCUUGGCAUCCAUGGUGACACUGAGUAGCCACUUUUGUCGUAUAAAAACACUAGUAAAGACGAGCUGGCUACUUCCUGUCACUUUUGUGAAAGAUAAUGUAGGCAAACCUGGUAGAAUUUCCACCUGCUUCUUCAAGCUCAAAUACUAGAAUCAAACGUCUUCCAGACAUUGUAAUCAAUUAAUACUGUGAUACAGCUGGUCAAAUUACUCUUUUUAAUGUGCGUACGCUUAAUUACCAUCCACUUUUACAUCUAAAAAAUUCACUCUAAGUUGAGUGUUUCUAUCAAGAUGUUGGCUCUCUCCAGCACAGUCCAUUAGAUUGAUAAAAAUCCAUUUUAAAAUUUAGAGUCUGGCCCAGAAAUCCCACACCUGGGAAUCCAUCCCAAUGAAAUAAAAGCAUCCGUCUGGACAUCGAAUAAAGAUGCUUAGUGUAUCACUCUGGGUGGCCGGGUGGGAGUGUGGGAAGAAACCCCUGGAGGCUAAAUGGAUGCCCCUCUGACACGUUCAAGAUGGGGCAGGACUGGGUAAAUCAUGGUACAUCCACACCAGGGACUAUCAGGCCUCAGCGGGAUGCAAAAAGACAGACAACGAGCAGUACGCAUAAAAUGAUUCCAUGUUGUACCAAGCACAACUACCCCAAAGAAAAAGCUUUUAUAUUUAUAUAUGAAAAAUUUUGAAGGAAACAGAUUAGAUUGUUGGCAUGUUGCACCUCACAAGGAGAGGUUGACUGGAGGGGAGGGGUAAAGUGACAGAGGGUGGCACUAGGCCGAAAUGGGAUGGACAUGCUCUAAGAUGAACCUUACCAGAAGGUGCACUGACUCACACCAAGAAGGAGCCCAGCAAAGAGCCGGGCGGGCCUCACCCUGUCUGAGGCGUUACGGAGGCAUCUUCAUACAGAAGGACUUCCAUCCUCACACCUCAGAGAGGCCUGGCGUAUCACGGUCCCCAUUAUACGAGUGACAGACAGGAGGCUCAGGGACCACACAGCUGAUAGAGAGAGCCCAUCAGCCCUGCUUCAAAAACGACACGCCUUUCUACAAUCUAACUAGUCUAGGAGAUUAAACGAGGGGGUAAAAAAACUAAGCCAAAAUGAGUCUUACCAAUUUGGGAGAAAUCUAGCAGGGAAAACGGGCCAAAGGCAUCUUUGCAGGCGUUCCGCGGGGCACGUGCCACCUUUUCCCCCACUGGAGGAGCACAGCUGUGACCCACAGGGCCUGGGGGGCGCCACUCAGCACAGGGGCAGCGGCAGACAUGCCCUUCCUCCAGUCCCACCUGGAAGCCAAGGCCGUCACAGGAAGCGGGCACCUCUUUUCACCAGAACCCCUUUCCCUGAGCAGUCGGGAUUCACAUCACUCUCUGGAAGGUGAGCUGUGGCGGGGGCGCCGGGGGAGGGGGCGCAGGCACCUGUCGGGCGUGGGGGCUUCCGUGCCCGGGGCCCAGCACUCUGCCUCACUCACAGCAGCUGGUGACCUAUAACCUCUCUUAAAUGAGUGAAUUCGGGUGCUGGGUAAAUAUGCUGCUCAUCCUUGUGUAAAACGGGGAGGAAGCUACCCCCGAGGGAAUUCUGUGUUUUGGAUAAAGAUAACGUUCACGGUAACAAUAAAACCGGCAAAAACAGUCAAUGGCCGCAUAUCAAGGUCCUAUUCAAGAGGCACUUGCUAGACCCUUAACGUACACAGCGCGUGGGAAUCUCACAGGAACACUGCACCGCGCGGGAACGUGGGCGCCUGUGCAGCAGGAGGACCCGGCCAGCCAGGCGGGCGUCACAUGGAAACUCUGCGCCGGUCGUUCCUCUGGCUUCACGCCGCUCCGCGCUCUGCAAACAUGCAUGCUCACACCCUGAGAAACACGAGCACAGGGGAGCUUCAGGACGGCACUGACAGGCGGGCUCUCGGAUCUGCAAGGGGCAAAACACGGUCUGUAUGACAUCCUUGCUAUUUUUUGUCUUUUAAGGGCUGCACCCAUGGCAAAUGGAAGUUCCCAGGCUAGGGGUCAAAUCGGAGCUGCACCUGCUGGCCUGCACCUCAGCCACAGCCACAGGGGAUCCAAGCCGUGUCUGUGACCUACACCACAGCUCACAGCAACACCCAAUCCUUAACCCACCGAGCGAGGCCAGGGAUCGAACCUGUGUCCUCAUGGAUCCUAGUCAGAUUCGUCUCCUCUGAGCCACGACGGGAACUCCAUGUACAACAUUAUUCUUGAUGUGGGUUAACGCAAACCCAGAGGCCUCGGCAGGCAGCUCCACGGCAGGACUCGGGUUUGCUGUUCUCGCGUCGGUCCCGCCCUCUACUCGACACUGAGCCUUCUCCGGCCUGAGUGCCCUCACUUCCAACACAUGAGCCUCAUGCAGAGGGCUGAGGACGCUUGACGGAUGCGUUCGAGCAGAGGGCUGUGGCAGUUUCCGCCCUUCUCAGACCACAGCAUGACAGUUACAGAAUUCGAAGCCAUUUGUAUCCCCCGCAGAAUCCCACAUAACUCAGCAGACACUCAUUACGAUGCCAUAAUGAUAUCACGCGGCCAUAAAUACAUAUGCUAAGAGUCAAACAAGACAUUCAUAUUUAAACGUAGCUGGAAAUAAUUUCAAUCCUGGCGAUUUUCUAUUGCUCAUUCUAUUACUUUUCUGUGGACGCUUAAAAUGUUAAAACCAAGAAGAAAGAGGCGGGGUGUGUGCGUCACAGCUUCUCCUUUAGCAAGAACAGGAAUCUGGGUAAUCAAGUUCUGUCUGAUAAAUAUUUUGUUUGAGGAAAAGGUAAUUUAAUAAUAGAUGAGAAGCCCCCUGAUAUGUCAAUUUCAGGAGAAUCAUUCAUGCUGCCAUAAAUGCAGUCCAAGAUUUUAAUAUUCUGAGAUAUCAGCUUCGUAUUUGAAGGGUGGGAGCCCUGAUUUCAUAAAUAAGAAACGCCUGUAAGACUUUUUCAUAAAACUUUUAAAAAAUACAUAAGGCAAACAAAUAAUACAGUUCAAAUUAAAACCACUUCCAAGUCACCAUUCCUAAAGAGGAGGAAAAAUGCCUUUGCAGGAACUAGAUCCAAGCCGCCAGAAGGGAGCCAAUCGCUCAGAUAACGUGACAGCAAUCACGACAACGCUGCUCUUUGCCUUAGACUCCUCAAGUGCAGACGGAAAGACACAGUUUGUCUUUGGCCUCCAUGAUGUAUCCGUUAACAGCUCUCUUCCCAUAGUAUUCAGACACCUUACAACGGAUUUUUGAAUUAUUUAAGUGGAAGUAGCAUUAGAAAAUCCUCAUGUUUAAAUGAUGCUAAAUAAGUCUUCUUUCAGCUGGACUUCUGCUUGUGCAAAAACAUAUUUUCUGGAGGUAUGUAGGAAGGACUCCAAAGAGAAGACAGCACGUGUGCCAAGUGCACACCAGUGUGUGGGGAGUAAGAGUGUACAGACAAGCCACGGGUGCAAGACGUUCUCGAUAUCUGGACGUCCUAGAGGGAAUUUUAGUUCGUACAUUUACAGAGAUGAUGUCAAUUUUCUAAAAUGCUUCCAAAGGUCCAGAAAGCUCUGAACAGGAGAAUUUACAAUGGAUGGGAGUCCAACUGCAAUAAAUCAUGGAAUACCUAUACUAUGGAAUAUUACACAGCUAUGAGAAGAAAUGAGUUUGCUCUCCCAUCGAGUGACCAGAGGGAUGCCCGUGAUGGAUUAUUGGUCAGGGAGAUAAGCACGCAACGAGCAGUGCACCGUGCAGACACCGGGCAGUAUUCUUGUGAAAGCAAACAGAGAACCUUCCCUGUAUUUGCCAAGGAUGUCCCUUCAUGGGCAGAAGAGUCUGCAGACAGUGAGAAGGGCUCCUGGCAGGCUGUCGGCUGGGGGGCUGGGGCGCUGGCAGCCGGGGGACUGCAGAAGAAAAGAGGGGUAUCAUGAACUCUGUUCUGUGUUACACACUGGUGUGCUUUCACCGACAGUGGUGAGCACACACUACCUUUUAAUGUAUAGGAAAAUAAUAAUUGCAGGGGGUAGGAAAGAAAGGAGAUGGAGGGGAAGAAAGGAGACCAAAGUGGGGAGAUAGAGAGAGAGAGACAGACCAACAGACCUAACAAAACAAAAAAUCCCUGCUGGCCAAAGAUGGCUCACUGUCAGUCUUUCUACUUUGCCAGGAUGCCAAGCUCAGGAAGCUUUACCCUUUACUCUUUCGUGUUUUUUUUUUCCUCAAGUGAAUGCACGGACGCAUUUGGUAGAGGACCCACUGCCCUCUGCAGAGCCACCUUUACAGAAGAAACCUGUCACUAUGCUGAGCUUGCAGUCUUGCGGGGGCAGGUGCAGAGGGUGCUGCUCGGGACAGGGGAGGGACCACCAUGUGAUCAAGCUGAUGGGGCUCCCGCUUGACCUAAGUGCUUCCUGGUCUGGUCAGAGAUGGGGACCUGAACCCACCUGGUCCCCUCCGUGGUAUUCCAAGGAAAAGUCCACAGAGGAUGUGCCUCUCGCCCACCUCUGCCCAGAGGUGCUUCCAGGGAAAGGAAAGAUCUCAAGGCCAAAGGAAUCACUAAGAAAUAAAUGGAAAAAGCUGGUGUUUGAUCUUAGUGUUGCUUUCAAAUGCAAAUACAAUUCCAUUAACUCAAGAAGUGUUUAUGGAGCCCCAACUAUGCCCUAGCCUUAUGCUUAGGAAGAAGUUAUAGUAUCUUAAAUUUCCCCAUGCCAUUUGAGGGCUCCCCCCCCCCGUUACAAAAGUGACAAAUUCAUUUCAGAAAAUGGUCAACUCUAGGAAAAUAGUUUUUAAAAUGACAAAAUGCCUUUCAUGUCCCAAACACAUCCAAUGGCCAUCGUGUUACAUGAUAUUUUCCCAGCACUGGCAUGGGGAGUGGCACAUAAUCAAUACCUCAUCAAUAGUUCUUGAGAAAAGCACAGCAGGCAGCCAGGCAGCUAACUUAUAGUAAUAUCAUUUACGCAAGCCCAUUUCAGACGUUUGUAUCACAAGGAAAGCACCCUGUACAUACUGUUUCUUAACCUACUCAUGCCACUUAAUAAUAGAUACCAAGCCUCUUGCCAGCAUUAAACACGUUUUAAAUGCCUGGUCCCGGGUGUCCAUGGUAACUGGCAAGGGUGGCGCCAUCAACACUGAGAGCCCC
rnacentral:lncRNA from 1 species